rnacentral:rRNA from 1 species
CCAGACUCCUACGGGAGGCAGCAGUGGGGAAUAUUGGACAAUGGACCAAGAGUCUGAUCCAGCAAUUCUGUGUGCACGAAGAAGGUUUUCGGAUUGUAAAGUGCUUUCAGCAGGGAAGAAGGAAGUGACGGUACCUGCAGAAGAAGCGACGGCUAAAUACGUGCCAGCAGCCGCGGUAAUACGUAUGUCGCGAGCGUUAUCCGGAAUUAUUGGGCAUAAAGGGCAUCUAGGCGGCCUGACAAGUCAGGGGUGAAAACCUGCGGCUCAACCGCAGGCCUGCCUUUGAAACUGUGAGGCUGGAGUACCGGAGAGGUGGACGGAACUGCACGAGUAGAGGUGAAAUUCGUAGAUAUGUGCAGGAAUGCCGAUGAUGAAGAUAGUUCACUGGACGGUAACUGACGCUGAAGUGCGAAAGCCGGGGGAGCAAACAGGAUUAGAUACCCUGGUAGUCCCGGCUGUAAACGAUGAUUACUGGGUGUGGGCAGGAAGACUGUCUGUGCCGAAGCGAAUGCGAUAAGUAAUCCGCCUGGGGAGUACGGCCGCAAGGCUGAAACUCAAAGGAAUUGACGGGGGCCC